rnacentral:pre_miRNA from 1 species
GUCUGUCUGCCCGCAUGCCUGCCUCUCUGUUGCUCUGAAGGAGGCAGGGGCUGGGCCUGCAGCUGCCUGGGCAGAGCGG